ACACUUGCUGUGAAAACAAAAAUGGAUGCCGCGCCGUGAAGAACAGUUCUGAGUUCAGUUUAGGGAUAUUUGCAGGAUGUUGUCCACUAAGCUAAUGGUGGGGAUCGUAGCUGCUACUCUGCACACAGACAUUGAAUGGAACUGUCUGGUCCAUUAUCAGAAGAGUGGGCAGCACUGUAAGUCCGAUCAGAGAAGUUUAUCGAGAAGCAUUACGAGGGACUUGUAUGAAUGGGCAGAAGACAUUUUCUUAACUCACCACUCCAUCAUUGCCUGAUGUUGGACACUGAACACUUUAUUGAAAAUUGAUGGGAUGUAGCAAUCAAUGGAUGUCAUCAUUUGCCCUGAGAAGACUAAGAGAACUCCCUGGUCCUCAUGAGAUGGUGAUACCCUGCAGUAGGAGCAGUUCUUACCGGUAUCUCUUAAAAGAAGACAGAGGUUUUCUUAGCAUCUCUGAUCCAUUUCUGGAGACAAACUUUUGAAUGGAGCUGGGUAGCAGUUACUUGAGAUGUCUGGCUGAUUGACGAGGAUAAUUGUCCUGCGACUCUGACAUUCUGUAAGACUUGGAUAGCUCUAUUGCUGUAGAAAAUGUUAGGACGGUGGAGAUUUAGAUAAGUGGUGUGAUGUUAUUGAUGGUAAACAGAAGACUGUGACCUUGAAUCUGAAGAUCUGUGAUGAAGACCGGACGUUUGGGGUCACUCUCUGUUACAGUACUACAAAUCUAACAGUGCGUAACUCAGCCACAAAGAGGUUGUCUCUGAUGUCCACACAUAAACCUAAUGGAAGCUUUAAAUCACAGUGAAUGUAACGGAGGAACUGUCCGUCCUGAUCUAGGAUGUGGAUACGGUGAUUCUUAUAGUCUGCUGUCAGGAUGUGACUCUGGCUGUCUGUAGUGAUGCCGGUUGGAGUAAAUGAUUGCUCGGUAUUAGAGGGAUGACCAGUGUAUCUAAAUCGGAGUUUUCCUGACUGAUUGACCACCACUACUGCACUAGCUCUAUAGUCAGCCACACAGAUAUCCAGGUUCCUGUUCUCACUGAGGUAUUUAGUGUUAUUAUAAACACCAGAUGAGUAGAGAGGACGACCCUGAUCAUCAAACUGAAUGCUUUGUUUCUCUGUGGAGCCGGAGUAACGCACGACUUUGUAUUGUUUGUCAUCACUGAUCAUGGUAACCAGGAGGUCGUUACCCGCGGUACAGCAGACAGAGAGAGGUCUCCACCCCUGUAGUGUGAUCACGGUCUGUAUCUGUUUAUUCUUAAUUAAGUUAACAGUUUUAUCAUAAUAGUCAAUAUAAACAAGAUCUCCGUCCCGUGUCACUGCUAUGUCCUCUGGUGUGUACCCUGACUUGGUUUGUAUUGAUGUCAGUAGUUCACUCUGGAGGUUGAGCAGCUUCAUGGUGUUGUUUAUCCCGCGUGUCCAGACUUGAUCUUCACUCAGACAGCUAACACUGUAUAGUCCGCCAUUCAAAAUGCCAAACCAAAUCUUAUACCCAGUGUCUAUGGUGGCGGUGACGCGCGGCUCAUCAAGCAGUGGUUUGACUGGAGGAGACGAUACAGCUUCUGCUGACUUCAAUGUGUCGCCAUGUUCUGUGUUAAUGGAUAAUGGCGACAGAGAACCAAACAUUUCAUUGAGCUGAUUUUUGUUUAUUUUCUGAGGAGAGAAACUCGGUAAUGUAACUCGGACUUUAGGCGGUAAUGUUCUAAAUUGGGAAUUCCUAGAUUUGUAAGUAGAGGUUAAGGAGACGUCAUUUGAUUUUAGGAUUGAUUUCAAGUCGGACAUGAUCUGUUUGAGUUCCGCCAUUUUCUGUGUGAUUUCAUCUGUGUUUUUAUUUAGCGCGUCCAGAUGUUUAGUUUUCAUCUCCGCAAUGGCGGAUUUCCGUCGGUUGACAAUGGCGGUAAUCUCCCGGUGUAGGAUUUCUCCUUGUUGGUCAGCAAUUGUGGUCAGUUUCCCGUAUUUCGUUUCUAACUCGGCUUUUUUAGUUUGCACAUCGGAGGCCAUUUCUUCAUAUCGCGGGUAAAUUCUUGUCUCGAGUUCUUUUAGAUCUUUUUGUAAACUUUCUGUUUUAGCGCUGAGUUUUUCCAGGAUAUCUGACAUAUCGUGACCUUUGUGUUUACCUGAGGAGACACAGGUAGAACAGACAGGAAUGUUGCAUUCCUCGCAGUGAAGUUCGCAGUGUUUUUCGGGGUGUUUCGGACAUUUUGGGUAGUUAGGGGUAACCUUUCUCUGUAAAAACGGCACGACAUUGUGUCUUUUAGACGAGUCUGAGAGAUGCUUUACUGCACAGUUAACACAGAGAUUUAUGUUACAAAGUUCACAGUGACUCUGUAGGGGGACAGUUUCACAGAGGUCACACAGUAGGACUUCCUGAACACUGCGCCGGGGAUGCAUUUCUGAUGGCGGGAUCACACGAGAACUUUACUGUCAAUAAAAAAAGAAUCUUAAUUAGAGACAUUGACAGGUCAAAACAAUUGAGAAGCUAGAAUUAUAGCAUGAUAUGAAACACUGUGGUCAUUAAAUUUGAUAUUUCAAAUGACAUUUUAUGAAAUUAGUAACGAAGUGAGCAGAUCGAUUCCGUUGAUCACAGGUUAAGUGAUCAGAUCAAUCUCAUUAAUCACAGAAAUAUCGAUACUACUAACACUACAAUGUCAGAAUGCGUAUAUAUAAUUCUGUCUCACCUUAAAAUCCAACAUGGCCUCCCUGUUCUUUCGACCUUCCGUCUAGUCCUGAGAAUUAAAUACCUGUGCGGCGUGUCAGCCUGUAUACACUCUCUACGGGUUAUCGAUUGUGUAAAUAGUUUUAAAACUUGUUUUGACCUGAAUCACGUUGGGUAGCUGUGUCAACAUUUCCGUCAGAAGAUAGAAUUUCCUUUCAUCAAAAAAUAAAAUGCAAUCAAAUAAAAGUAAAGUAAAGUAAAUUUUAUUUAUAGUCGGCACUAUAUACAUUCAACAUGUCAAACACAAGCUCUGUAGAGCUUUUAACCGACUAUCACAUUCAAGUAUAUCAAGGACAAAGACACAUAGCAUGCAUGUACACAUAUACACAGACAUAUCACAGAUUAACAAAAGAAUACAAAAUAAAAGAAAACUUUCAUGCAAGAAUACACAAGAAUAUACAGAUACGAAAGCAUAAAACUACGAGGAAGAAAUAAAAUACUACAAGCAAGAGUAUAUGUAUAAAAAGCAUCAUUAAAUUUCAAACCAAAUAUGUAUACAAUGAAUAACUGCUUUCUUUGAUUAUACUUAUUGUAAUUACGCCCUGUGCACACAAAUAAUAUUGCGUUUAAGGUACAAAAGAAAAAUUUGCAAGGUCAACUUGGCGACACUGGGGAGGAGAGGGGGGUGUCAUUCAGUGGGUCCCCGUUUGACUCGUAACAGUGAGGGUUCUUUAUUUUGACAACGCCCACCAUGACACGGGACCUCUGUUUCCAUCGUCAUAUCUGAAGACCUGUGGCUUAUAGUUCUACAUUACAGGGCGCUUUGUAAAGGGCCAUUAACUACAUUUGUGAAAUAUUUUACUCAUGCACGGUAAAUUGCGAUAUUAACUUUUUUAUGUAUAUUUUCCUUCAAAGCAUCAAAAAUAAAACAUGCAUAUAUUUAUAAACAUAUUAAGGGACAAGAAUAAAAGUUCAGUGUUUGACAGCUUCUUAUGUUAAUGUUAAGUUUAUGCUCUUCUUGAUAGUACAUUAUAUAUAUUUAGUAGUUAAAGCUUUGAAUUGAAUUCAUGUAUCAAAAGAUGACCCCCCUCUCCCCCAUUUAAUGUUUAGGCCGUUUUAGUUGAUGAAUCAAUUAAGGAUUUGGCAGGCGGGGUUAUUAUUAUUAUUAUUAUUAUUUUUUGAGGAAUCAAUUUUUAUUUUAUUUUUACUAUUUCCCUGCGACCUGCUGCCCCCCCCCCCCCCCCCUGUGAAAAAAAAAAUGAUAUGUGCCUAUUUAAUGAAAUUCAACGUUUCUCCACCUUUAAACACACAACCUCACAUCUCACAUUUUUUAUUAGUACAUGUAAUUGUUUGUAAGGGUAUGGAAUCGUUAUCUAACCAGAGGGAGCGUUAUGCAAGACAUUUACAAUAAAUCGCUCACCUGUGUACAGAUAAAGGACAUGUAAAUUACCCGUAUUUUAACGUCCAGGAGAAGCUUGCGUAAUGUGCUCUCUGGUGAGAGAAUGCCAUGAAACACGUUACGCAUGAUUUUGUAUAUCAAUGUACAUGUUGUUAACAUAUUUUGUUUUCUAUUGUAGAAUGAGUUGAGUGGGAAAAUGAGCCUCCAGAUGUAUAUGUACAUGUGUAUAUUAUAAUUAAACUUCUGUUGCACUCGCGCAUGCGAGGUUACUCUA